rnacentral:rRNA from 1 species
UACGUAGGGUGCGAGCGUUGUCCGGAAUUAUUGGGCGUAAAGGGCUCGUAGGCGGUCUGUUGCGUCGGGAGUGAAAACUCAGGGCUUAACCCUGAGCCUGCUUCCGAUACGGGCAGACUAGAGGUAUGCAGGGGAGAACGGAAUUCCUGGUGUAGCGGUGAAAUGCGCAGAUAUCAGGAGGAACACCGGUGGCGAAGGCGGUUCUCUGGGCAGUAACUGACGCUGAGGAGCGAAAGCAUGGGGAGCGAACAGG